ensembl:lncRNA
GGCGGGCCGUGACGGAGCGGGAGGGAGCGCUCUCCCUGGGCCGGUUAGCUUUGGCACGCUUUCUCGCUUUCUCGAGUGGGGUCGCCCUGGUUCUUCAAUGGGCGGCGUGUCGGCGGCCAUUGCGAGAAGACGCCUUUCCCACCCGUUGAGCUAGGAACGCUGUUCCAGCCCCAGCUGCCCUUCGUUACAGGGACACGUGGCCUCCAUCAGAAAUGGAGGGAGGUCGGGCCGGUAUGUCUGCAGAGAGCGAGAUUCCAAUGGGCCGCAGGCUCCACUGUUCCUGCGGAGUCAUCGCCCUGAUCCCGGGAGCCUGAGACCUCUCUACCUAACAAAACACGAUCUAGAUCACAACCAAGCAACAUAAAGUCAUCUUAACCUGUUCCCGUGCUGUUUCCUGAUUUUGGUCAUUAAAAUCAGACACAUCCCUAGCGACAGAAUUGAGAGGCCAUGUGCAGAUUUAAAAUACCCAUUUCUGUAACUCACUCAUUUUUCAUUUUCAAUAUGCUGAAAACCCCUGUAAGACUGAAGUGACUUUGAACAUCCUAAUCAUCUCUGGUUGUGUUUCGUGACCCAAAGCUUUGAAUACUGGGGAAAGAAUCAGCAUGAUUUAUCGUAGAAAGAAGUGAGACUUGGACUGGACUUCAUACAGAUAUGCAGAAUUUCUGAAGGCAGAAUUGGAAGAAGGAUUCUUGAGAUGAAGAAAAGGUGAAUGGGAAAGGAGGCCGCAAAUCACAGGACUCACAUUGUGGAAGAAGAGAACUGAAUUGUGCUCCCAUCUCCACACACGUUGACAUACACGCAAUAGUAAAUGUGAAAAUUGAAUGAAAAUGAGGACAUGACGGCUCCAAGACUCACUUAAAACAGAACACCAACAUGACAUGACUGCUCAAAGGUCACAAGCUAUCAACAAGAAGGCAGAUGUCCUGCAGCCCGCUAUUAUGGAUGGAGGACCUUGGGGAUGGCUGUCCAUGCAGCCUGCUGGCAAGUCUCUGUUAUUCUUUAAUCAUUGAUUCAGGUAAAAUCUUAUCCUUCUCAAGAACUCUGAUGCUUUUGAUGACUGGUAGUCUUGCCAGCUUAAAGCAAAAACAGAUUCCUGUUUUUGUGAAAGAUAGGAAAGUCUAAGAUGUAUGAAAGUCUGAGAAUGUAGUUACGAAGGCCUGAGGAUAAAAAGGCUUAAAUGAUGAUAAAGUGAGUUGAGACAUUAAAAAGACUGAAAUAUGUUCCGGAUUUCUCUAUUUCUCAUGCUACUGUUCAUAAUAAAGUUCACCAAUAUCACUAUAGGAUCAUAACUACAAAGUCAAGAUUAAGAUGCUUUUCAUUGUCCUAAAAAAAAAAAAUCUGUCAAUUUUAAAAUGGUAAUGCUUUUAGCCAAGUUGCUUCUAACAUAAAUAUGCUGCUAAUGUGUCUAAUACUUAUGUUUCUACAAACUCUAAUGAUUCUUGUAAGUUCCAGGGAGCUAAAUUGGAUCCAAACAAACAGGUCAGAUUCACUCCAGGUAAUAUUCAAUCUUUUCCUGGUCCCAGGACUCCCUUCCCUCAUGUUAGGACUCCUUGGGAACCCCUCCCUCAUCUUACAAUCUUCCCCUCAAGUGACAGGACCUAAGAAAAAAUUUUUUUUCUAAACUUAACCUUGUCCUCUGCUCUGUCAGCAUCUUACCAGGUCUAAGAAGCACCAGGGAGUUCCGUACAGCCUGAACUGCAAUGAAACAACCAGCUUCCCCAGGACAUGGCAGCACCCCAACCUUCUCGGGUCCCCCAAAGAUGGUCAACGCCCCCCACGUCAGCAGGAAGCAGUCUUGAGAAUUCAACACCCUUAUUCCUUAACCUGCCAUGUCUAACACCCCACCUUUUUCUAAUAAUAAGUAGAGGUGGGAAUGAAAGGUUUAGGCAUUAUGCUGGCCUGCCCCUGUUACCUGGUGGAACAGGCAGUACCCUGGUCAGCCCAAGGUUCCAUGGGAACUAAUUCUGCACACAGAUACAGAGGACCCCUUUAAAAGAUAGGUCCCUGCCCAUUUACGCUCUGUUUCUGUUCUGUUUCCUCGCUCUGCUUUCUCUCUACUCUGUCUCCUACCUAUGCGCUCUCUCUGUCUCUCUAAUCUCUAACCGGCCAUGGCGGUCAGCCAUUUACCCCUGUUCCUCUUCUUAGUCUCCCCAUUCUGUUGGGCCUUAUAAUAAACUUAUAAUCUUAUGUCUCAUGUCUCAGCAUUUCUCUUUUCUUUUUUUUUAAACAAAAGAAUAACACCAAGACUGUAGAGAGGAAAGCCUGUCUAUGGGGAAAACAAAAAUAAUAGGUAAAAUAUUUUGAUUGGAG